GCAUGUAGCCAACCGUGCCUCAUGUGGGGUCGGGCUGGGAUGAUAUUUGGCUAAGCAGGGUUGGACCUGGUUGAUAUUUGGAUGGGAGACCUCCAGAAGACUUCAGGGCUGUGUGCA
rnacentral:rRNA from 1 species